rnacentral:rRNA from 1 species
UACAGAGGUCCCAAGCGUUGUUCGGAUUCACUGGGCGUAAAGGGUGCGUAGGUGGCCGGUUAAGUCUGACGUGAAAUCUCCGAGCCUAACUCGGAAACUGCGUCGGAAACUAUCCGGCUCGAGGGUUGGAGGGGAGACUGGAAUACUUGGUGUAGCAGUGAAAUGCGUAGAUAUCAAGUGGAACACCAGUGGCGAAGGCGAGUCCCUGGACAACUCCUGACACUGAGGCACGAAAGCUAGGGGAGCAAACAGG